rnacentral:rRNA from 1 species
UGAAAGGCGUGGAGAUCUGAAGGAAUACCGGUGGCGAAGGCGGCCCCCGGGACAGAUACGGACACUCGGAUGCGAAAGCGUGGGGGGCAAACAGGAUUAGAUGCCCUGGUAGUCCACGCCGUAAACGAUGUCUACUUGGAGGUUGUGGCCUUGGGCCGUGGCUUUCGGAGCUAACGCGUUAAGUAGACCGCCUGGGGAGUACGGUCGCAAGAUUAAAACUCAAAUGAAUUGACGGGGGCCCGCACAAGCGGUGGAGCAUGUGGUCUAAUUCGAUGCAACGCGAAGAACCUUACCUACUCUUGACAUCCAGAGAACUUUCCAGAGAUGGAUUGGUACCUUCGGGAACUCUGAGACAGGUGCUGCAUGGCUGUCGUCAGCUCGUGUUGUUAAAUGU